rnacentral:misc_RNA from 1 species
UCUCUGUUGGUGAACCAGCGGAGGGAUCAUUACAGAGUUGCAAAACUCCCAAACCAUUGUGAACGUUACCUAUCCCGUUGCUUCGGCGGGCGGCCCGGGCCCCGCGCCCGGCGCCCCCCGGCCCCCCGUGGGCGCCCGCCGGAGGGAAACCAAACCCUUGAAUUGCAUGGCCUCUCUGAGUCUUCUGUACUGAAUAAGUCAAAACUUUCAACAACGGAUCUCUUGGUUCUG